rnacentral:rRNA from 1 species
CGGGCGCACGGCGGAUGCCUUGGCACAGGGAGCCGAUGAAGGACGCGGCAAGCUGCGAUAAUCCCCGGCGAGGAGCACACAUCCUUCGACCCGGGGGUCUCCGAAUGGGCGAACCCAUCCACAGCAGUGUGGAUAUCCCCACCCCGAACACAUAGGGGCGGGGAGGACAACCCGGGGAACUGAAACAUCUAAGUACCCGGAGGAGAGGAAAUCAAUCUCGAGACUCCCCGAGUAGCGGCGAGCGAAAGGGGACCGAUGGCCAAACCGUCGAGCGGGCAUACCCGGCAGGGGUUCCGCCGACGGGGUUGCAGGGCCGCGCAUCCGGGGGCUGCCGCCCCCGGGCGCAGGUCCGGCUGGGGAGCGGAACGGCAUGGGAGGGCCGGCCGCAGCGGGUGACAGCCCCGUACGCGAACCCAGACCGGACGGCGCGACGCGGUCCCUGAGUAGGGCCGGGCACGUGAAACCCGGUCCGAACCUGGGUGGACCACCAUCCAAGCCUGAGUACUACCCUGUGACCGAUAGCGCACCAGUACCGUGAGGGAAAGGUGAAAAGCACCCCGGGAGGGGAGUGAAACAGUACCUGAAACCGUGCGCCCACGAGCAGUCGGAGCAACUUCAUGUUGUGACGGCGUGCCUUUUGUAGAAUGAGCCAGCGAGUCGCUGGCGCGGGGCGAGGUUAACCGAAAGGGAGCCGGAGCGAAAGCGAGCCUUAACAGGGCGACUUGAGUCCCGCGCCGCGGACGCGAAGCCGGGUGAGCUAUCCGUGGGCAGGCUGAAGCGGGGGUAAGACCCCGUGGAGGGCCGAACGCACGUCGGUUGAAAACGGCGGCGAUGACCUGCGGAUAGGGGUGAAAGGCCAAUCAAACCCGGAGAUAUCUCGUUCUCCCCGAAAUAGCUUUAGGGCUAGCGUCGCGCGUUCACCGCCGGAGGUAGAGCACCGGAUGGACGAGGGGGCUUCGCCGCCUACCGAAUCCAACCGAACUCCGAAUGCCGGCGGCCCAGAGCGCGGCAGUCAGAGCAUGUGGGCUAAGCUGUGUGCUCGAGAGGGAAACAGCCCGGACCGCCCGCUAAGGUCCCCAAGUUCCAGCCGAGUGGCAAAGGAUGUGCGUCCGCCCAGACAACCAGGAUGUUGGCUUAGAAGCAGCCAUCCAUUCAAAGAGUGCGUAACAGCUCACUGGUCGAGUGGACAUGCGCCGACAAUACACGGGGCUAAGCUGGACACCGAAGCGGCGGGAUUUUAAUUCAUUAGAAUCGGUAGGGGAGCUUCCCAUGGGCGGAGAAGCCGGAGGGCGACCGACGGUGGAGCGCAUGGGAGUGAGAAUGCUGGCAUGAGUAGCGAGAGACGAGAGAGUAACUCGUCCGCCGUGAACCCGAGGUUUCCUGGGCAAGGCUAAUCCUCCCAGGGUCAGUCGGGGGCUAAGGCGAGGCCGGGAGGCGUAGCCGACGCGCAGCAGGCAGACAUUCCUGCACCGCGCACGCGGCGCUACGACCGACGGGGCGACGGAUGGGGGUGGCUCGGCGGGGUUCUGGACGUCCCCGUGAUGGAGCGCGGCCCGCGGACCAGGGAAAUCCGGUCCGCAUUAAGGGCGAGGCUCCGGACGAAGCACUUAAGCGAAGCGAGUGAGCCCGAGGUCCCUAGAAAAACCCCUAGGCAGGCGCGUGCGCGCCCGUACCGCAAACCGACACAGGUGGGUGGGUAGAACAUACCGAGGCGAUCGGGUCAACCAUGGUCAAGGAACUCGGCACAAUGGCCCCGUAACUUCGGGAGAAGGGGUGCCCGCGCGUACGUGAACGGACUUGCUCCGGGAGCGGAGGCGGGCCGCAGUGGAGAGGCCCAAGCGACUGUUUACCAAAAACACAGGACUCUGCAGAAGCCGCAAGGCGACGUAUAGGGUCUGACGCCUGCCCGGUGCCGGAAGGUCACGCGGAGGAGUUAGCCAUUUCGGCGAAGCCCCGAAGCCAAGCCCCGGUAAACGGCGGCCGUAACUAUAACGGUCCUAAGGUAGCGAAAUUCCUUGUCGGGUAAGUUCCGACCUGCACGAAAGGCGCAACGACUUGGGCGCUGUCUCGACCAUGGACCCGGUGAAAUUGCACUGGUCGUGAAGAUGCGACUUACCCGCGGAAGGACGGAAAGACCCCGUGAACCUUCACUGCAGCUUGGCAUUGGCCGCUGGUCCCGCGUGUAGAGGAUAGGCAGGAGGCACAGAUCCGGAGGCGCCAGCCCCCGGGGAGCCGCCCUUGGAAUACUGCCCUCGCGCGACCGGCGUCCUAACCCGAGGCCGUCAACCGGCUCGGGGACCGUGCCAGGCGGGCAGUUUGACUGGGGCGGUCGCCUCCUAAAGGGUAACGGAGGCGCGCGAAGGUCCGCUCGGGACGGUCGGCAACCGUCCUUUUGAAUGCAAGAGUACAAGCGGGCUUGACUGCGAGGCCCACAAGCCGAGCAGGUGCGAAAGCAGGCUCUAGUGAUCCGGCGGCCCCGAGUGGGUGGGCCGUCGCUCAACGGAUAAAAGGUACUCCGGGGAUAACAG